CAGCAAACUCCAAUUACUCCACCAAAUUGACUCUUAAUUUCUCAUUCUCAAAUCCCAACUCCAGAAGCCGCAAAGUGCAAACCCUUUUCCUUCUCCCUUUCUAAUUCCGUUCAACUGCGCUGCCAGUCAUUAGCCAAGACCAGAAACUUAAAGCCUGGUUCUACUUCUGUCGAGUCCGACUGUCGUUCCGAGGUUUGAACUUUUCGUUCUGGUAAGCAGACUACAGACAGCAGGGUGAAGAGAAUUCAGCUUCGCUUGGGGACUGGUUUGGGAGAUAUAAUAAAAGAAGGAAACAAGUAAUUCCUGCAGGAUUGUGCAUGCAUCUUUGUUCGCCGUCAUCUGUAAGAUAGAUUGAAAAUUGAAUAUCUCACUGAAAAAGAUCUAUAGUUUAUUUGAAAAAAUUAACUCAGAGAUUUGAUCAUCAGGGGACUAUAGUUCUCUCCAAAGCCCACUAUGAGUAGAUACACCUUCGUUUGCAAGAUUUCAAAACUUCUAGCGAGUACAAUUCUAAACUGUUCAAAAUUAACCUUUUGUAGAAGAAAAACACCGAUGCAGAUAUGUUGUAGAAAACUUUUUCCACAUUUCACGCAUCAAAUGUGCUCCUACAGCAACAAUAUUGUGAGCGUGAUUCAAAACGUACUCAGAACUUAUAUCUUGCUUACUUUUUGUUGGAGAGAAUAAUGAACUCCUGAUGAAAAAUCAUGGAUUACGUUCAAGUGGUUCUGUACCAUUGCCUGAAGCUAUACAUGGAUAAUAUCAAGACAAGAAUGUGGAUGUGGACGUGCACGUGGAAUAAACCAACAAAAUUAUCAACUACAAGGCAAUUAUUUCAAGAGGCACAAAGCAAACGAAAAUAGCACAUCCAAAAAGGGGGUAGAAGAAAGUCGCUUUAAAUGUGGAACGAAUGGGCAUUGGACAUGUACCCAUCGCACAACAAAAUAUCUUGUAGAUCUCUACAAAAAAUCAAUCAAGAGAAAGAGAAAAAUUGAGACAAAUUUUGUUGACUAUGAUGAUUCAAUUGAUGUGAUUCAUUUGAAUGUCUCCGAUUUUUUGCCGAUCCAAAUGAGAAUAUUAAUCAUUUGAUUGGAGGUGGUGUGAUGGAAAAUAUAGAUUAGUUUAUUUAUAUCUCUAACAUUUUUUUU